CUGGGAAUUCACAGGCACGUUCACAGCUGCUGAAAUCCUGCACGGUUGGUUCCAAAGCCACACUUCUUGCAUAACCAGAAAGGAAUUAACCAACUUGCCAAGGAAACUGCAUUCAAGGCUUUCUGCACAAAAUAACCGCGAUAGGAGUGCAGUGACUUGUAAAAGCAAGGCAAAAGAAACAGGCUUUGGAGAAAGACAAGAGCUUGAAGAGGUAAAAGCCGCUUGGCGGUGCUGAGAGGCGGGGUGUCAGCGGGAGGAGAGCAGAGGAGAGGGAGCUAAAGCAGCGAGCGCGGGUCAGAGCCUGCCGGGCGAUGCCCGGCUCAGAGCAUCCCGGAGCAGCAGCGCGGCGCAGCUCGGCGCGGCUCCGGGGCGCGCUCUGCCGUGCGCGGCGGGGAGCGGCAGCUGGAGCAGCGAAAGGAGCCCCUGGAAACGCUGGAAUGUGUUUAUUUGACCGCUGGGGCGUAAUGGGUGCAUGUUCUAGCUCUGCAUUAUCUUCAUUGCAACGAGAGUUUACCAAAAAUGAGCUUUAUCAGCUGAAAAUCCUUCACGGAGUUAUUCAGGAGGCUCCCUCUCUACAGACAAUAGUAAAAAAAUCUGUAAUGUGCUUUUGCUUCAGUAUGUGCAAACACAGGUACACCCACUGUGUUCAUUAGUUGGAAGUGUAACAACUGUAGUCAUUCUGCCCUCUUUCACAUUUAGGAUCCUGGAAGUUUCAUGGAAAAGUUCUAAGGAUGUUUCUGACACUUUCAAGGGGUUUUUUUCAAUAUUGUUCUAGUAAUUAAUGGGAGUAAGGAACCUACUGUUAUGUUGGGGAAUUGUUCCAUGGCCUGAUAUUUCCUGCUUUUUAUAAAUCAUGAUUUCCCUUUCCAGUGCUUUUGUCUUGCUGUUGUUACUAGGUACAGACCUAACACCUGGACCCUGCUGUGUCUGCCACUGGCUAUGUCUUCAAGGAAGUGCAAAGCUCAUUAGUUUGUUUUCCAACCUCAGAUGUGCUCAAUAUGCUCCCACACCGUGUAAGCAUCCAGCACUGAGCCUGUCCAGUCAGCAAGACAUCCUACUCCUACAGUGUGCUCUACUUAAUCCAACCAAUCAAUACUGACAACACUGAGAAUCAGGAAAGAAAUGUCAGUUUGCUACUGUUGGAACAGAACAUCAGUUUCCAGCUGAGUUUCCUUGAAGCCUUUGUGUGGCCUCUGGGUAUCUUUGACAGUUCCAGAAACUUUUGGGAGGACAUAAUUUCCUCUUGGCUUUCCCAUCAAGGUUCUUCAGCUAAGGACUUAACAAUCAUCAGGCUAAGAGCAUCUCCAAAUAGCAGUUAAUUAUCCUACACAACAUCCUUCCAGGUUGGUAAGUGUUCUGCCAUUUUACAGAUAAAGAUAAUUAUAAAAAUACUGACUGGGAAUAAUAAAAUAUAAAAAUUUCUGACUGGGAAUCAUAAACAAUUGCAUAAAGAACAUUAUUCCUCCACUUGUCAUAAAGCACCUGUAUAGAAUUUAUGAAUUAUUAGAAUUUAUGAAAGCACCUUUAUAGAAUGUAUUUACUGUGUUACUCAGCCCAGCAGGAAUGGGUACCUUUACAGGAGAAGCUACCAGGUGAUAUCCAGUCAUCAAACUCAACUUAAAUCACUCAGAGUAGAUGGUAACAUGUCAGUGACCCAUGCAGAAAUGUCACUGCUGGCUUCAGUAACUUAACAAGAUAAUGUUUAUAUAUUUAUAGUUUGGGGAUGACUUCAUGCAUGUAAACAGGGAUGUUUUGCUUCCAAAUCAGUUUCAGGUACAAUGUUGCCUUAAAACAUGAUCUGAUAAUCAAGCUAUGAAAACCUAGAGGCAUGAGUAGCUUAACAACAUCUUCACCUAAUUAGAAAUUAGAAUUUUAUGACCACAUAGACAAUGAGGGAAAUACAGUCUUACUCAGCACUCUGUGAUUAAAUUGAUUGACUGGAAUGGACAUUUAGAAGCCUUGUUAUGGAAUGUAUUUAUCUUGACAACCAUAGCGGAAGAGCAGUUGUUGUGCACUGAAAGAAGUUGCUCCAAGUCAUUUCAGCCAUUGGUUCAUGUCCAGCAACACUUCCAAGAUGGAGCUUCUUGAUUAUUUUAGCAUGAAUGCUUGAGAAACAAUUGGAUGCUUUGGGAAUGAGGCUGGGUGAUGAUUUACAUAGGAAUGGUCAAUAAACACCUUCUACCCGUCAAGAGCAUGUGAAGCUUGUGCAAUGAUCCUCUCAAACUUCUGACCCAGGAUAACCCAUGUUAUCUGUCCAUCCCAUUUGAGUGUUGUAAGAACAGCUGUAUGUCUUUAUAUAUUCUGGUAUCACAGUAAUGGGAGCUGUAACUGCCUCAGCAAGACAGAUAAAAUAGCAGGGGACAGAGAUCAUCCCUGGCACCUCUCCUGGGUACCUCCUCUCUAUGGAUGAAUCAUUCUUUAUCCAGGUAGAUUUUAUGUGUGUCCUUUCUCAUGACUACAUAUGUGGCUGGAUUGGCAGGCCAUGGUAAUAUACUGGUUAUUUUGCUAAUUUGUUGCAUAAAAGAUAAUACAAUUAGAGGUUCCAUACAGUGGCCAGGAUAUUUGCAGAAAAUAAAUGAGAAAAUAAAUGUUUCUCAGGUGUCUUAGAAUGGAGCAAUAUGUGAAACAGGGUAGCCCAAUUUUUUUCUGAAUCACUGCCUGUUUUACAGUUAACUUUUUAUGUGUUCCUUCUUUGCUAUUUUUUAAUUGAACACGAGGAAUCCCUGAUUAAAAAUAAGUCUGUGGAGUGAUGUUUACAUGUACCUGUCACUUAAAACAAUGCAAUUGGGAUGUCGUAGAUGACAGCCACUUCUGGAAUAACCAGUAUAAAGAACACUUAAAAAAUUAAGAUAUGAAGGUCAGAAGAUGAUACACAAACACUUCAUCACAUUUCCCAGAUUUUUUCUGUACUCAUAGAUCCUUUAGUUUGUAAAGGGGUUUAACCGAGCAUAUACAGGUUUAACUGAGCAUACAGAGAUAAAAUGGCAGUUUGCCAACAGUAGGCAAGGAAAGAAGCCAUCCUAUAUGGCAGAACACCGAUUUCCAAACUGUAGGUGGUAGAAAGCACUUUGGAAACCUAUUUCAUUAAAGAAAGAAUGAUGUUCCUGUCAAACACAAUUACAGUGUUCUCAAGCAUGGCUGAAUUGGAUGUACCUUGUAGCAAUACUUCAGGAAAACACCUUAAUCAAAAAAAGAAUGCUUUGGUGAUUAAUCCCAUUGACAUUACUGUUGCCUAAAGGGUUCUGAAUGUAUUUAUUUCAGCAUUUCCAAGUGACUGUGUUUGGAGAGAUGGAAGACUAAAACAGGAUACUUGACAGGGCAAAUAAAAUGAUUGGGUGGUUUAGAAGAAAAGUUGGAUGGGUAGAUUUUAUCAGGCUGUGGAAAAGGUAAACCCCAAAAUUCUUUCAGCUCUCCUAUCCCCCUUAGUGCAGUCCAACCCUGUCUGCCUUAGUUAACCAGCAUUAUUAUUUUACUGCUGUUUAAAUAUAUUUGAUUCAAAAACAUCACCUCUUUAUCCAUUAUGAACACAGCAGUCAAGGAAGCAAGCAAUGCCACAGACUAAAAAACACCACCUGUGUCUUAUCAGAAGCCUGAUGGUGUUUUAAAUACUUGAGUGUUUUCUAAAGGUGUCGCCUAGUUAAACUGUGAUAAACUACUCAUCUUUCAAAUAGAAUUUCUGACCAUAUAGUUAUGUCUUGCCAUCCCUGUUCUUCUUGGCUGAUGAAAAUAAAAAAUCUACUUUGUUAUACUAGUGGAAAUCUGGAGUCAUCCCAAUCUCUACUGAUGUAAAAGGGACCAGAGUCUGUCCCAUAUAAUACUUUGUAUAGCACUUCAACUUCUGCACUGUGAAGUAUCUAAAGUGGGGCUUGGAAUGCUUCUUUCAUUAAAAAUGAAAUAUAUUUAUCAAGAAAUUGCAUUAACUUUAGAAAAUAUUCUGAAGGUAGUACAAAGAUAACAGAUACCAUUCCUUCAGUUUAGAACAGAAGUGUGGAUAGCCAUAACUGCCUGACUUUAGGCAUGCCCUGUAACCUAAGUUAACUCUGAGAUUAAAGUAUUGCCUGAAUUAACAAUUUUAAUUAAAGGACACUAAUAAACUUUGUGAACAAAAAAAAUUUAGUAUGUUCUACCCCUGUACUAAAUUUGAGGAAGUUGCAGUGCCCUGGUAUCAUGAAGACAUACUCACACAUCAAACUCUAAGUGUCUGAACAGUGAGUGAAAAAUGGGAUGACAGGAAGAGAGAGGCCCAAGUAACCUCAGUGCACAAAAGUAUCUGUUUGCUAAUGACCUGUUUGUUUUAGACCAAAAGUUUAUUAUUGCAGUCAGUAAAGAUAUGAGUUGAAUUGCACACACAUUUUCUGGCAGCGUUGGUCAAAGCUUGUAUUAACAGGUUUUGAAGGAUAAAAACUUCACAAUGAAAAUCCACUUUGUGGUAGACUAUUAAGGCUACCAGCAAAAGAACUACAGAGCAUCCCAGGAAAUGAAUUUAACACAAAAAC